AAUUUUUAAAAAGAACAACAAUAUUUAGAGAAGAUUGGAGAGUAGCUAUGCUAGUGAGCCUUUUUUGGCUUCUGGGACAUCAGGAAAUUGUUGACUUGUCUUACCUCUGAAAUACAUCUUCAGAAUCAUUUUCUCUUUAUGCCUCCCAUCCUGUUACCUCAGCCUUCUAACCGUAAUUCCAUUAUCCUCUUCCCUUCGUGGUUCAACUUGUUUUAUUUUGCUGUCAGUUUUUCUGGCUUAUACUACACUGAGUAAGUUGGGACCUAGCAGCGAUGAGAUGUCCAGGCUAACACAUAAUUUUAUAACCUAAGUUAAAUGUCAAGGCAGGUCGGUGCUUGUCCAAGAGGCCCUGAUUUCAACAGAGGUGAUCCAGAGGUAGGAGUAGGAAGAAGUGGAAUUUUUAAAAAGCAGGGCGGAGUUGAUAAUCCUUCAAACAGACCCAACUCAGGCAGUUCUUAAAAAUGUGAGGGUCAGGACAUGUCUCAUGUCAAGGCCAAUGUCUUUCAUUCCGGUGCCUUCAAAAGAAUAAUAAUGUAAAAAGGCAAGUAGGAUGCUGAAAGAAUAUGCAGUACUGAUCUUGGCUAUAGAAAGAGUCAUCUGAAAACAAUUUUGAACUUCUCAUUCUAUAUAUUUUCCAUCACAUUUGUGGAUGACUUUUAUCUACUACCAAUUUUUUCCCAACAUUUUUUUGUGUCUUAGCACACAGUAAAGUUGAUAAUAAAAGAUUAAAAGAAGGUGUUUGUUCUUAGAUGAAG
rnacentral:lncRNA from 1 species